rnacentral:misc_RNA from 1 species
GAUGAAGAACGCAGCGAAAUGCGAUAAGUAAUGUGAAUUGCAGAAUUCAGUGAAUCAUCGAAUCUUUGAACGCACAUUGCGCCCGCCAGUAUUCUGGCGGGCAUGCCUGUCCGAGCGUCAUUUCAACCCUCAUGCCCCUAGGGCGUGGUGUUGGGGAUCGGCCAAAGCCCGCGAGGGACGGCCGGCCCCUAAAUCUAGUGGCGGACCCGUCGUGGCCUCCUCUGCGAAGUAGUGAUAUUCCGCAUCGGAGAGCGACGAGCCCCUGCCGUUAAACCCCCAACUUUCCAAGGUUGACCUCAGAUCAGGUAGGAAUACCCGCUGAACUUAAGCAUAUCAAUAAGCGGAGGA